GUUGUAAUUAUAUUACAUUCAAUUUAUAAAUUUACACAAGAGGCAAAAUGUUUAUAAGAGGCCAGUUAUAGAUAUAAUUUAUUUCUGAAAGGUCGAUUAUAGCAAUUAUUGAAAAUUUGUAUGAUUGAAAUCCAGAAAUCUGUCAAUAAUCUGUCAUUGGAAUUGUGUCAAACUAAAAAAUAGAUCAGUGAAACAUUUUAUUUAGUUAUUGACAUAAAAGAAUAAGCUGUUAAUGAAAUUAAUGAGCCUUAAAUGUGUCAUGCAUAUGUCUAAACCUGCACUGAUCUUCCGUGUUUGCAGCGUCGUAAUAAGUUAUUUAUUAUUAUAUGUACAUAUACAUUUUCUUUACAAAUCAAUUUUUCAAUUUAUAAAUCUGUAAUACGAUGCUUAAUCGCCUUUUUCAAAAGUUUUCCUAUAAAAGCCAUGAAAGUUCUUGAGUAGCUUACAAAAAUUCUUAAACUCUCUAAAAGAUAAGACACGUCGUCGGGUGAAUUUUCUUCACAAUUACAUACACUUACUCUCCACAGUUAAUUUAGUAUUGACUUGUUUUCUGUCUAAAAAUAUCUACAAUGAACAACAACAAAUGGAUUAUUGCAUUGUUUGUCGUCUUGCUGUCGAUUAGCAGUAUUAAGGCAAAACCUGUGGUUGCAGAAGCGAUAGCAGCGACGAGUCUUGUGGUAUCAGCAGCAGGAGCUGGAAUUAGUGCAGCUAGUUGUAAGGGAGAUUGUUGGCUAAAUGAUUGGCGAGCUCGUGACCAAAAAUGUGGCAAUGGACCAAAAUACUCAUAUGAUGGACCUGUUCAUGGAAAAUGUUAUUGUUGCCGUUAAGAUCCUAUAAUUUAUGUAAAACGUGUGCGCUAUAAUUUGUUGUUACCAGUUUAUGAAAAUUUAAAAUCGAUAAAUUUAAAAAUUAGAAAUGUUUUUGUUUAAUGGUGAAAUUAGUUAAAUAAUUGUUUAUAGAAUGUCUAAGCGAAAUAAGCUGAGCAAAGUUUAUAAAAUAGUUACAUUCAAAAUUUUGAAAAAAGUACAAAGUGAUAAAUAAAAACAUAAACUAAAAAAAUA